CAGCAAUCCCACAUCUGCUGGUCUCCUGGUGGCUUCUGCCUCUACUUUCCUCCCAGCUGUGUCAGAACCUCAGCUCAGCUCCAAUUCCUUCCCAGACUCUAAGGCUCCUUCAGGGACCUUCACACCACGUAACCCUCAAAGGCUCCUGCCCCAACCCAGGCUCUUCACUGGUCACACCCUGAACUCCUCCAGGAAGGCUUCUGGCCCCAAGGGCCAGCCCAAACCCGUAAGGCAUGUAGGCUAAAGUCUAGCUGGCACCUUGGGUGACUUGAGGACCCUUGGUGAGGACGGGUCGUCAGAAGCACUGUGGGGAAGCCUGGAUGCCCUUGAAGUCAACUGAGGCCACUGUGGACUGGCAGGCACGGGGUGUAUUUAUUGGAGGACAUGAGGGACAGGAUGGGUGCUGUUGGAGUUGACUGAGGACGUUUGGAGAUAGGCUGGCGACCGUUGGGGACAAAGGGGUGUGGCUGGGAACUAGUGGCUAUUGGGGGAUACGCUGCGGGCGAUCAGAAACUGACCGGUGAACCUUGGGGACAGUCUGGUAGCUGUUGGGGUUGGGGGAGGCUUGGCAGGUGACCGUUGGGAACAGGUUAGGAACUCUUAGGACCAAUCUGGAGACAUUGGGAGCUGGCUGGGUUGGGGCCACUAGGAAUGCAUGAGACCCUGAGGGAAGCUAAGGGUGAGUUUUGGGUGGAAAAUCAAGGACAACGGAGGCCAGAAAGUGGGAGCCAAGGAGCAGACACAGUGGAGACACAUACCCACCAGAAAGUCCUGCCUUCACCCAACCUGGAGCCUCGUAGGGUGAAGACCAUUCCAACUUCCCACCUAACGGUGGAGCCAGAGCCGAUGGGCGAGAGCAUCCGGGGCACGAAGCACCAGGUCUGGGAUUCAGCAAAGCCCGACCAGCAUGGGGCUCAGUUAGUCUCCAAGUCCCGGAACUCGCCUGCGCAGAUCCAGGAGGCCCCUGCAAGUGGGCUGCUGCAUCCACAGAAGCAGGAGGCCUUGGGUUGGACUCAGUAUCCCGUCAUACUGUGGAUGUUUCCAGACCUGUAUGAACACAGGCUACAGUAUUAGAAGUUUCUGACAGGCCAAAUACCUCUGACUGCUGAUGUGCUCUGUGAACGACAUUCCAGGCACUGCUCCAGGUCCUGGACUAAGACCACCGUGAGAGCCUGGAGGACGGCAGGCCUGAGGACCACCCUUCUCUCUGACCCCCACACCCCAGGGCCUAUACCUGAAAUGUUGCUGCAAAAUUAAGUCGAUGGGAAGAGGCCCUCCCACAUCUGAGUUCAGGAAUUAAUGAGAUAGAUGGUCAACUUUACAAGAAUUUUGCCGGCAGUGCAGCUCCUGGCAUGUUUUCUACAGAGAAAACGCUCAGAAUUCAUGCCCUAAAGAACAAUCCAGUCCCCCAACCCCAGCACCUUUGCCCAUCUUCAGAAAGUGAAUCCUAGAGGACAAGAGGUCUCCCCCACCUCUUCUCCCAGCACAGGCCAAAGGUGGAACAAAAAGCUUUGUUCUAGAUCUACCAGUUCCAUGUCUAUGACCAAUGCACAAAAACCAAACAGUUUCAGUUCUGCUAAAUUCCUCCAUGCUUUAUCUUUAGCCGACCAAUGUCUUGGUCCUUAACAUUCCCUGACAUUUGGAAUCUCCCUGUUCCAUCUAAGUUUUAACAGUCCCAAGUUCAGAGAAGAGACAACAGGAAGUAAACCACGAGUGUCUGAGAACUGAGACAGGCCAGCAAUCCUGUGCACCUGCACCACACUGUGCCUUGUGGCUGGCAUGCUGAAGUGAUGUCCUUAAGCUGUGAGUCCAGCAUUAAACUCAACAGGAGCUUUUCUUAGUUCUCUUAUUUUUUAUAUCUUGCCCCAUUUUGCAAGCAUUAUUUCUUCUUCAAUUACAGCACUGUGUUAAAUAUACAUUGCUGUAUGAAAUGCAAAAUCUGGGAAAACAUGGCAGCGGGGUUUAGUUUUGCUCAUCGGUGAUAGAUGGUCGGAGGUCUACCCAGGGCUGGAAAGUGCUGCCCUAGGGACUUCCUCCUCACAGCUACCGGUGUCCCUCCCAAGAGACUUGCCUUUGC
rnacentral:lncRNA from 1 species